GGUCCGCUGGCUCAAUGGCAGAGCGUCUGACUACGACUCCAAGAUCUGGGACAUCCCAGGAAAGGAUCGAGUAAUCAGGAGGUUCCAGGUUCGACCCCUGGGUGGAUCG
rfam:Chaetomium globosum CBS 148.51 scaffold_2 genomic scaffold, whole genome shotgun sequence.